GGCAGUAUAGCUCAGUGGUAAAGUACUGGACUCCCGAUCGGGAGGUCUUAGGUUCGAAUCCCACCACGGGCU
rnacentral:tRNA from 1 species